CUAUUACUCCCUCUGUCCCAAAUUACUUGUCGCAAGAAUGGAUGUAUCUAGACAUAUUUUUAGGUCUAGAUACAUCCAUUUCUACGACAAAUAAUUCAGGACGGAAGGAGUGCUAA
rfam:Triticum urartu cultivar G1812 contig1204435, whole genome shotgun sequence.